rnacentral:rRNA from 1 species
CAGCCCCUCGAGUGGUGGGGAUGAUUAUUGGGCCUAAAGCAUCCGUAGCCGGCGCUGUAAGUUUUCGGUUAAAUCUGUACGCUCAACGUACAGGCUGCCGGGAAUACUGCAGCGCUAGGGAGUGGGAGAGGUAGACGGUACUCGGUAGGAAGGGGUAAAAUCCUUUGAUCUAUUGAUGACCACCUGUGGCGAAGGCGGUCUACCAGAACACGUCCGACGGUGAGGGAUGAAAGCUGGGGGAGCAAACCGGAUUAGAUACCCGAGUAGUCC